UCCCUUGUAGCUCAGUUGGUGAAGAAUCUGCCUGCAAUGCAGAAGACCUGGGUUCAACUCCUGGGUUGGGAA
rnacentral:tRNA from 1 species